CGCCCGUUCGCGGUAGCCAUUUGGGAAAUCGCUGUUUCUCUGCAUGGCUGAAAUACCCUGCAAGUUGCAGAAAUUGGACACCGUGGAAGGUGGAAUUCUGCUGCCUGUCCGCAGUGCCACGUAUGCCUCCUGCCUGGGGAGGUGGCGGAGUCCUCCUGUCCACAUAUGCCUCCUGUCCCUGGAGGUGUUUCCUGGACGUGGCGCCCAGUGCCAUGGUGUAGGUGACAUGGUGGUGUUCGGUUGUAGGUUGGACUUGAUGAUCUCAGAGGUCUUUUCCAACCUAAUUGAUUCUGUGAUUCUGUAUGUGGUGUCACCAAAUAAAGUGCUCCAAACCCCAAGUUCCAUGGCUUUAUUUUAGCUAUUCAUAAGGUGAUCAGAGCCUCUGUUUUGCAAGCACAUGUGACUGGCUGGUCAUGAGCCAAGGCCUUGAUUUCAGUGGCACAGGGUGGGAUCAGAGGCCGCACCAGUUUGUGUGCUUGAGAUUACUUGGGGAAGGGGCUGUGUGUGCUUGGACCACAACUUUGGAGGCAUCUGCAUACUUUGCAGUCAAAAAUAGUAACAAGCCAAUGAUGGUGACAGUGCUCAGACUAAGAGUAACCAAACGGCAUGAGAGGAUUUUAGUCCUGUGUGAUUCAAUCAGUGGGUGAAGUUCCACAGCAUUGACCCACCUCAUUAUUGAAAUACAUUUGGUUGCCCUUUGUAGCACAUUCAACAGCUAGGUCAACUUCUAAUAGAAUGGUCAACAAUUUUUCUUAUUUCUUUUUCAUCAUAGAUUUGUGCAAUUGCUUAUGUAACUCCCCAAAAAUGCCAACCCUUCACCGACACAAAGAAGAGAAAUUCUUCAUAAACGCUAAAGGCAGGAAAGAACCUGUACCAAGUAUACAUGAUCCCCCUACAAGGGAACUCUGUUGUGGUGCCUUCAUAUGACGAGGAAGACUGGUGUAAGAUUUUUCUUGUUUUGAGGAAAAGAAAAUCUAUCUGUUGUUAUUGUAAUAAUGCAGAGUACCUCUUAUGAUGGAUAAAGCUUUGGAUUAUCUAGAAAAAAGACAGAAGCGAGACUUAUGAAGUCAUAGUGGUUAAUGAUGGCAGUAAAGAUCAAACUACAAAGGGCAUUUGACGUGGAACUUCUUUAUAUAGCCCAGUGUUUGAAAAUACCUGUAGCAGAAGUUGCUGUCAACUGGACUGAAAUAGAAGGUUCUAAGUUAGUAGAAGUUUGGAGCUGGCUGCAGAUGGGCAGAGAUCUUCUUAUUAUAUGACUGCAAUAUAUGACUGGUGCCUAGCAGCUUGAAAGAAGAAAAUAUAAUUAGGUUAUUUACAUUUUCCAAAUAUAUUAUUAUAUUUAAUGGAACAUGAGAACAGUUUCAAUCAAAUGAAGUGGUGAUGAAAGCUGAGGUAAUUUGUCAUUGCUCCUGCUCUUAUAUGUUUCAUUUUUGCAGCAUGUAUGUGUUUUGUAAGAUUGCCGGCAAGGAAUUUGUACAUUUUUAAAAGAGAAAGCAUUUCAAAAAAGAUUUUCUUACCUGGUAAUCAGUUUUUAUUUUAUUAAAUAGUAGCUUUAACAUGUCUUAUAAAUUAAUUCAAAUAAAUAUAUCUGCUUUUGUCUCAUCACACUUCUGGAAUUUCUAUACAUGUAUUAAAAAGAGGCACUCUAUUUUACGUUGUGCAGUGUUGUGUCGUGAAUGACCACAACCAUUUGUUUCUGUGAUAUCUGGAAAUUUUAGGCGAUAUUGCAACUUGGAAUUAUCAUUCAUGGUUCACACUGAUGCAUGUUUAGAUUCAAUGUUAUUGGAAACAUUAAUGGAUUUUACUGAGUUAUAACAGUAAUGUUCUUAAAGUUGUUCUAAGGACUUCUCAGUAGUCUCUUAAAAUUCCAAAUGUUUUUGUCUGAAGCUGAAAUAGUUUUCCUGAGAUCAAACUGUAGAUCAUGUGCAGACUGUAGAAGGUCCAAGACCAAGCACAUUUAGUUUUAAAAUGUUGUCUUUUAUAAAUGUGUUUUGUUCGUGUGUACUAAUUAUUCCUGCCUGCUCAAGGCUAGAAGUCCUUGACAUCUACAGGUCUGAAAGUGAAGAGGUUAUGGAAAGCUAGUUCAGAGCAUGCAAAAAUGAGACCCAGUAUACACUGGGGGGGCUGUGCAUUAGCAAUGCCAAUCUGAUGUUGUCACACUUCAAAUGAGAUCAGAGAGGGAGGGAGGGGUCUUGAGUCUUUCAUAGUAAUGUCAUGCUAUGUUACAGUACAGUAACAUAGUUUCAUUUGUGCUUUCAAAAUAGUUGUGGAUUGCCAACAAACUAAGCCAGUCUGUCUUUCAGAAACAUGUACAAAUUUGAACAGUUGUAAAGAAUGAAUGGUAUAUGGUUGUACUUUCACAUGGAAAUUCACUGGUGAUUUUUCUUAUUCUUUCUGUAAUAUUGACUUGGAUUUUGUUCCUGUUAGGGUUACCUCAGUUUUCUGUCAAGUGCUGGAAUAAAUUCUCAAAAAAUAUA